UACGAAGGGGGCUAGCGUUGCUCGGAAUCACUGGGCGUAAAGGGUGCGUAGGCGGGCCUUUAAGUCAGGGGUGAAAUCCUGGAGCUCAACUCCAGAACUGCCUUUGAUACUGAGGAUCUUGAGCUCGGGAGAGGUGAGUGGAACUGCGAGUGUAGAGGUGAAAUUCGUAGAUAUUCGCAAGAACACCAGUGGCGAAGGCGGCUCACUGGCCCGAUACUGACGCUGAGGCAUGAAAGCGUGGGGAGCAAACAGG
rnacentral:rRNA from 1 species